AGGAAGGCGCGGGUAGAGCCGGGCUCCGAGAAGGUCGCCGUGCAGGUGGUGGAGACGAAUAGGAGUUACCGUAGGCGAAUAUUCCCAACUGCAGGGUGGAAAGCCUUCAUCAAUCCUUGGGAAACCUGGGACUUCAUUUAUAGACUAUACUUCACCUCCUUCUGAAGAUACACUUGAUGUCAAGAAUUAAGGAAUGGACAGGAUGAAUAUAAAGGCAAGCCCAGCACCCACCCCAAAUCCAGGCAUCCAAAGAACACUUGGGGGCAGAUUAUGAGUGCCAGAAGAGGAUCGUUGAAACCGGCUGCUUUCAAAUCAAAAAGACCAGCAAAACCUCCAAGAUCAACAUCACAGCCUGUUGGAGAGAAAAUUAAUUACUUGCUGCAUUUCAACAGCAAAGAGUUGAUCAAGAAAGCAGAUAUUAAAGGGAACUGUGCAAGGGCAGUGUGAUCACUGAUUGAGAUGUCUGUGAAAAGAAAAAAGAAACAAACCCACCUUGUUUAUAAAAACAUUCUUUAAGUUAACUGUCUAUCUGAAAUGUAAGUACUAUACUUUGGUAUGCCUAUUAAUUGUUGGUUUUCUUUUACUGGUACAGAUGGGUUUCACCAUGAGAAAUUCAGAGCACAGUACAUCAGGCUAACCAACAAAGCUCAGUUCUCUGCUUUGUUAUCACUACAGUGAUAGCAGAGAACUGAGUAAGUUUUCCAAGAGCUAUACUUUCUUGACUAUGGUGUUCAUGUUGCCAGUGCUGAUUGUAAACAAAAAAGUGUACCAGAGAAUAUACUCAGAAACUGGUCUUUUAAAUGUCAUUCAUUCAAGAUUUACUGAGAACUGCUAUAUGCUAGAUACUGUCCUAGUCACCAGGUUAAGAUGCAAACACAAACAGGGUCCCUAUAUUUAAGAUGCUUAUAUUUCACUGUGGGAAUGUUGAGUUAUAAAUAUCCAAGCAAAAUAAUACAAAGUGUGAACAAUUAGGCAAAUCUGAUGUGAGGUAAACUGGGAGGCUAUUUCUGAUUAAGCCAGAAAGGGUCUCUUUGCAAAGACGUUUAAGGUAAGAACUGAAGGAUGACUUUUAAGACCUAGCUCACUUUUCCAAUGUACAAGCCAGGUAAAUUUUCUUUCUUGAUGGGAGUUCUAAGUAGUAGUAGGAUCAACCAUAUAUUAAUCAUGAGUAGGUUCUAUAGGCGCUCUUCUGCUUCACUGUUAUUUGGGCCACCAUUCUUAAGCUGGCUGAAGUCUCUGUACAUAUGUGGUAUUUGUGAUGUGUAGGGGAUAAGUGCAGAAAAGGCAGAGUUCUCAAUCUACAGGAACUGCCUGAGUGGGAUAAGGAUGGAGUACCAUGCACUCUGGGUUAGUAGCUGCAAACACAACUGGGCUGAACAGAGCCAACUACCUCAGCACAGCAAAGGGUGGCAAGAGGAAGAUGACACACCUAACCUGUCACUACAAGUGAUAGCAGCCUCAUGACAAUAUUGGGAGAUUUUCAUGGGCUGGUCUGUAUAACAUCAAUUGCAUCUAGAUAAAAUGUGCCAUUUCUUUAAAAAAAAAAAUACAAUACCUCACUCCCAGAGUUUAGAUCCCAGGGAAGCAGAUAUUUUCUUAUCUUUUUCUUAUUAUUUUUGCUCCUAUGUACACAAUUAUCUUCUCCCAGUUGGUACCUUGCUGGGUCUAUGUUCUCUCCAUAAAUAUUAUGUGCCACGUAGGGUACUAGGCACAUUGCACACAGUGCAAAAUAAGACAGGAGACACGGGACUUCCCUGGUGGUGCAGUGGUUAAGAAUCUCCCUGCCAAUGCAGGGACACUGGUUUGAGCCCUGGUCCUAGAAGAUCCCACA